rnacentral:tRNA from 1 species
GCCGAGGUAGCUCAGGUGGUAGAGCAUGCGGCUGAAAACCGCAGGGUCCUCGGUUCGACUCCGAGCCUCGGCA